GUCAGCAUGGCAUAGUGGUUUGAGCAUUGGACUAUGACUCUGGUCACUAGGGUUCAAUUCCCCACUGAUA